rnacentral:rRNA from 1 species
CGCUGGCGGCGUGCUUAACACAUGCAAGUCGAACGAUGACUUUUGUGCUUGCACAGAAUGAUUAGUGGCGAACGGGUGAGUAACACGUGAGUAACCUGCCCCUGACUCUGGGAUAAGCCUGGGAAACUGGGUCUAAUACUGGAUAUGCACCGUAGACCGCAUGGUUUUUGGUGGAAAGAAUUUUGGUCAGGGAUGGACUCGCGGCCUAUCAGCUUGUUGGUGAGGUAAUGGCUCACCAAGGCGACGACGGGUAGCCGGCCUGAGAGGGUGACCGGCCACACUGGGACUGAGACACGGCCCAGACUCCUACGGGAGGCAGCAGUGGGGAAUAUUGCACAAUGGGCGAAAGCCUGAUGCAGCGACGCCGCGUGAGGGAUGACGGCCUUCGGGUUGUAAACCUCUUUCAGUAGGGAAGAAGCGAAAGUGACGGUACCUGCAGAAGAAGCGCCGGCUAACUACGUGCCAGCAGCCGCGGUAAUACGUAGGGCGCAAGCGUUAUCCGGAAUUAUUGGGCGUAAAGAGCUCGUAGGCGGUUUGUCGCGUCUGCCGUGAAAGUCCGAGGCUCAACUUCGGAUCUGCGGUGGGUACGGGCAGACUAGAGUGAUGUAGGGGAGACUGGAAUUCCUGGUGUAGCGGUGAAAUGCGCAGAUAUCAGGAGGAACACCGAUGGCGAAGGCAGGUCUCUGGGCAUCUACUGACGCUGAGGAGCGAAAGCAUGGGGAGCGAACAGGAUUAGAUACCCUGGUAGUCCAUGCCGUAAACGUUGGGCACUAGGUGUGGGGGACAUUCCACGUUUUCCGCGCCGUAGCUAACGCAUUAAGUGCCCCGCCUGGGGAGUACGGCCGCAAGGCUAAAACUCAAAGGAAUUGACGGGGGCCCGCACAAGCGGCGGAGCAUGCGGAUUAAUUCGAUGCAACGCGAAGAACCUUACCAAGGCUUGACAUGUGCUAGAUCGCCAUAGA